rnacentral:misc_RNA from 1 species
AAGGAUCAUUAACGAAUAUGGCGCAAGCCAAUUCUACCCUUCUACCGUGCUUUAAUCCAGUAUUUCGGCAGCUUGCUCUUUCUGUAAAAUUUCGGUUUAACGGUCAGAGUCCCUUAUGAGUAAAAUUGUUUGGGAGCCGGCUGCCGGUGGUUUUUAUACACAUUUUAUUAAUUGUCUGAAACAAAAAACUUAAACGUUAAAACUAUGAACAACGGAUCUCUAGGCUCUU